UGUGAGAAACACUCUGUAGCCAAUAACAUAGGCUCAGGCGAGGAUCUCAGUGAAGUAGCAUUUUUAUUCACGAUUGCAAUGGCAGGCAUCCCACAAGCAGGCGUGCACCUACUAGUUCCAUAACAGAGUUUAUCUCAUUUAUU